rnacentral:rRNA from 1 species
AUUGAACGCUGGCGGCAUGCUUUACACAUGCAAGUCGAACGGCAGCACGGGUGCUUGCACCUGGUGGCGAGUGGCGAACGGGUGAGUAAUAUAUCGGAACGUACCCGGAAAUGGGGGAUAACGUAGCGAAAGUUACGCUAAUACCGCAUAUGCCCUGAGGGGGAAAGCGGGGGAUUCGUAAGAACCUCGCGUUUUCGGAGCGGCCGAUAUCGGAUUAGCUAGUAGGUGAGGUAAAGGCUCACCUAGGCGACGAUCCGUAGCUGGUCUGAGAGGACGACCAGCCACACUGGAACUGAGACACGGUCCAGACUCCUACGGGAGGCAGCAGUGGGGAAUUUUGGACAAUGGGCGCAAGCCUGAUCCAGCCAUGCCGCGUGAGUGAAGAAGGCCUUCGGGUUGUAAAGCUCUUUCAGCCGGAAAGAAAACGCACAAGUUAAUACCCUGUGUGGA